GACGAACGCUGGCGGCGUGCUUAACACAUGCAAGUCGAACGGAAAGGCCCUGCUUUUGUGGGGUGCUCGAGUGGCGAACGGGUGAGUAACACGUGAGUAACCUGCCCUUGACUUUGGGAUAACUUCAGGAAACUGGGGCUAAUACCGGAUAGGAUCUCCUGCUGCAUGGUGGGGGUUGGAAAGUUUCGGCGGUUGGGGAUGGACUCGCGGCUUAUCAGCUUGUUGGUUGGGUAGUGGCUUACCAAGGCUUUGACGGGUAGCCGGGCUGAGAGGGUGACCGGCCACAUUGGGACUGAGCUGAGGCCCAGACUCCUACGGGACGCAGCAGUGGGGAAUAGUGCACAAUGGGCGGAAGCCUGAUGCAGCAACGCCGCGUGCGGGAUGACGGCCUUCGGGUUGUAAACCGCUUUCGCCUGUGCCGAAGCGUGAGUGACGGUAAUGGGUAAAGAAGCACCGGCUAACUACGUG
rnacentral:rRNA from 1 species